GACGAACGCUGGCGGCAGGCUUAACACAUGCAAGUCGAACGCAUCCUUCGGGGUGAGUGGCAGACGGGUGAGUAACGCGUGGGAACGUGCCCUUCAGUUCGGGAUAACCCAGGGAAACUUGGGCUAAUACCGGAUACGUGUGAGAGCAGAAAGAUUUAUCGCUGAAGGAUCGGCCCGCGUCUGAUUAGCUAGUUGGUGGGGUAAUGGCCCACCAAGGCGACGAUCAGUAGCUGGUCUGAGAGGAUGAUCAGCCACAUUGGGACUGAGACACGGCCCAACCUCCUACGGGAGGCAGCAGUGGGGAAUAUUGGACAAUGGGCGCAAGCCUGAUCCAGCCAUGCCGCGUGAGUGAUGAAGGCCUUAGGGUUGUAAAGCUCUUUCGUCCGGGACGAUAAUGACGGUACCGGAAGAAGGAGCCCCGGCUAACUUCGUGCCAGCCGCCGCCGUAA
rnacentral:rRNA from 1 species